rnacentral:rRNA from 1 species
GAUGAACGCUGGCGGCGUGCCUAAUACAUGCAAGUCGAGCGAACAGACGAGGAGCUUGCUCCUCUCACGUUAGCGGCAGACGGGUGAGUAACACGUGUAUAACCUACCUAUAAGACUGAGAUAACUUCGGGACACCGGAGCUAAUACCGUAUAAUAUAUUGAACCGCAUGGUUCAAUAGUGAAAGACGGUUUUGCUGUCACUUAUAGAUGGAUCCGCGCCGCAUUAGCUAGUUGGGGCGGUCACAGGUUUCCAAGGCGACGAUGCGUAGCCGACCUGUGAGGGUGAUAGGCGACACUGGAACGUAGACAGGGACAAGACGCCUACGGGAGGGAGCAGUAGGGAAUGGGCCGCAAUGGGCGAAAACAUGACGGAGUAACGGGACGUGAGAUACGGCGGUGUUCGGAUCGGAAAAAUGUGUUAUGAGGGAAGAACCAAUGUGGAAGUAACUAUGGACUGCUUGACGGUAACUAGUAAGAAAGCCACGGCUAACUACGUG